UGAAAUCGUGAAAGUGUGACGUAACGGGUUAACGAGUGGUGAGGGGUGUCUCGAAGGAGGAAUUGCUCUUCAUGCAGUGAACCUAACCCGAACCUGAUUCGGGUUUUUCAUGUGUGUGUGGUUUAUUUCAUCAAAUUGAAAAUAUUAUUUUCAAUGCUUAAUCAUAUAUGUAUUUUUCUAUAUGUGUAUAUGGACUGGUUUGUUUACUCUGCUUCCAGUUAAAAUAAAACAGAAAGGGUAAUUCUCGUUAAUCCGUAUUUUCUGUCCUGUACUUUUU
rnacentral:telomerase_RNA from 1 species